AUUGAACGCUGGCGGCAGGCCUAACACAUGCAAGUCGAGCGAGCGGCGGACGGGUGAGUAAUGUAUGGGGACUGCCCGAUAGAGGGGGAUAACUACUGGAAACGGUAGCUAAAACCGCAUACUAUCGGAUAAUCCAUAUGGGAUUAGCUCGUAGGUGAGGUAACGGCUCACCUAGGCGACGAUCCCUAGCUGGUCUGAGAGGUUGAGCAGCCACACUGGGACUGAGACACGGCCCAGACUCCCACGGAGGCAGCAGUGGGGAAAAGUGCACAAUGGGCGGAAGCCUGAUGCAGCCAUGCCGCGUGGAUGAAGAAGGCCCUAGGGUUGUAAAGUACUUUCAGUCGGGAGGGGUUACCGACAGAAGAAGCACCGGCUAAUUCCGUGCCAGCAGCCGCGGUAAUAC
rnacentral:rRNA from 1 species